AACUAACAAGGAUUCCCCUAGUAACUGCGAGUGAAGCGGGAAAAGCUCAAAUUUAAAAUCUGGCAGUCUUUGGCUGUCCGAGUUGUAAUCUAGAGAAGUAUUAUCCGCGCUGGACCGUGUACAAGUCUCCUGGAAUGGAGCGUCAUAGAGGGUGAGAAUCCCGUCUUUGACACGGACUGCCAGGGCUUUGUGAUGUGCUCUCGAAGAGUCGAGUUGUUUGGGAAUGCAGCUCAAAAUGGGUGGUAAAUUCCAUCUAAAGCUAAAUAUUGGCGAGAGACCGAUAGCGAACAAGUACCGUGAGGGAAAGAUGAAAAGAACUUUGGAAAGAGAGUUAAACAGUACGUGAAAUUGCUGAAAGGGAAACGCUUGAAGUCAGUCGCAUUGGCCAGGGAUCAACCUUGCUUUUUUGCUUGGCUUACUUUCUGGUUGAUGGGUCAGCAUCAAUUUUGACUGGUAGAAAAAGUUCAAGGGAAUGUGGCAUCUUCGGAUGUGUUAUAGCCUUUGUUCACAUAUAUCAGUUGGGAUUGAGGAACUCAGCACGCCGCAAGGCCGGGUUUUUAACCACGUACGUGCUUAGGAUGCUGGCAUAAUGGCUUUAAUCGACCCGUCUUGAAACACGGACCAAGGAGUCUAACAUGCCUGCAAGUGUUUGGGUGAAAAACCCGAGCGCGUAAUGAAAGUGAAAGUUGAGAUCCCUGUCAUGGGGAGCAUUGACGCCCGGAUCUGACCUUUUGUGACGAUUCUGCGGUAGAGCAUGUAUGUUGGGACCCGAAAGAUGGUGAACUAUGCCUGAAUAGGGUGAAGCCAGAGGAAACUCUGGUGGAGGCUCGUAGCGAUUCUGACGUGCAAAUCGAUCGUCAAAUUUGGGUAUAGGGGCGAAAGACUAAUCGAACCAUCUAGUAGCUGGUC
rnacentral:rRNA from 1 species